rnacentral:rRNA from 1 species
AGAGUUUGAUCCUGGCUCAGGACGAACGCUGGCGGCGCGCCUAACACAUGCAAGUCGAACGAGAGAGAGGGAGCUUGCUUCCUCGAUCCGAGUGGCGAACGGGUGAGUAACGCGUGAGGAACCUGCCUCAAAGAGGGGGGACAACAGUUGGAAACGACUGCUAAUACCGCAUAAGCCCACGGCUCGGCAUCGAGCAGAGGGAAAAGGAGCAAUCCGCUUUGAGAUGGCCUCGCGUCCGAUUAGCUAGUUGGUGAGGUAACGGCCCACCAAGGCGACGAUCGGUAGCCGGACUGAGAGGACGAUCAGCCACACUGGAACUGAGACACGGUCCAGACUCCUACGGGAGGCAGCA